rnacentral:tRNA from 1 species
GAGGGUGUAGCUCAGUGUUGAGCGUGCGCUUAGCACGCAUGAGGUCCUGGGUUCAAUCCCCAGCACCUCCA